UACGUAGGGGGCUAGCGUUAUCCGGAAUUACUGGGCGUAAAGGGUGCGUAGGUGGUUUCUUAAGUCAGUUGUGAAAGUUUGCGGCUCAACCGUAAAAUUGCAGUUGAAACUGGCAGUCUUGAGUACAGUAGAGGUGGGCGGAAUUCGUGGUGUAGCGGUGAAAUGCUUAGAUAUCACGAAGAACUCCGAUUGCGAAGGCAGCUCACUGGACUGCAACUGACACUGAGGCUCGAAAGUGUGGGUAUCAAACAGG
rnacentral:rRNA from 1 species